GGUGUUGUGGCUCACAGGCAGAGUGCUCACCUAGCAUGCGUGGAGCACUGAGUUCAAUCCUCAGCACCACAU
rnacentral:tRNA from 1 species